rnacentral:misc_RNA from 1 species
UUCCCACCAUCUUCAAAAGGGCAGCCCUAGUUUGAGAGAUGUAUCGGAGCUAUCAUCCCCAAGAGGAGGGCCACUGCUGCAGCUGCAGAUGUUAGUGACAGAUUCCGAUGACAUGCCUUCUUCCUGUUGGACAGCGACGUCCGACUCCAAAUGCACUGGCCUUUUCCCUUUGCACCAGAAAGUAGUCAUCUUCUGUUUUAGCCGUUUAUUCUCUUCUAGUAGUUGAGCUCCCUUCUUUUCAAGCAUAGAGAUCUCAUUCAUUAUCUUAUCUCCCUGAAAAGAACAAAAAAACUCUACUGCAAGUUAAUAACAUAUGUGUAUAAAAAUAUAUGAAGAAAUUGUCAAGAAAUUCUACAAAUUAGUAGGUGUGCAUGAGCGCUCGUAUAUAUAAGUCGUAUAUGCCUACUCUUGUAUCAAUUAAAAGUUGGAAAUAACAUGAUACAAAAUAACCUUAGUUUCAAGCACACGCGUAAGUCCAGCUUCAAGCAGUUUUUCCAAUUGCUGCAAUUCCUCUAGGUUUAAUCCUUGCAGAUUCUCUCCCCUCAUCUGCCUUAGUUGAUAGGUCUUUUCAGCAACUUCUUUGGUCAACCGGGCGCGAUUAUUAUUCUCUAACUCCAAUUCAAGUGAUGGUCGGUCCAGUUUGUCGAGGUUAUUGGAAUGCAGAUUAUACCUUGCAAUUAUGUCCUUCAUGCUUCAAGAGUAGUAAUAAUACUGUCAGGAUACAUGCUUUUAAUAGAAUUUUUAAACUAUAUAGCCACCGUGAGUGAAUCUCUGGUGUCAUAGACUUCCUCUCAAUAAAUUUUAAUUUUUUAAUAAAACUACACUUAAUUUAAGAAAUUAGACUUAAAUUACCAUAAUUAGAUGAAUUGAACUAAAAUGCUAUUCCAUGCAAACAAUGAUUAUAAAUGUUAAAAAAUAAAUUGCAAAAUUAUAUAUAUAUAUGAUCCUCCAAAUUUAAUAAAGAUUACAAACUAAGGGCAAGUCUAAUGCAGGUAUUUGACGCCAAGCAACAUAUAAUUACAGGAAGGCAUAUUUCAUUGCACAUUUUAUCAGAUAUUUUCUGUUGAAUGAUAGAGAUUGCUAUUGUGUUUCCUCUCCCUACCUCCCAAUUCUAUUUUAAUUUUUGGAUAAAAUUACAACUAAUUAACAAAAAUUAAAUUACAAUAAUUAAACACAUUGAAUUAAACGCCUAAUUAAAAAAAAUUGAGUUUAAAUUACAAUAAUUAAACACAUUGAAUUAAACGCCUAAUUAAAAAAAAUUGAGU